GUGGGGAAUAUUGGACAAUGGGCGAAAGUCUGAUCCAGCCAUGCCGCGUGUGUGAAGAAGGUCUUCGGAUUGUAAAGCACUUUAAGUUGGGAGGAAGGGCAGUAAGUUAAUACCUUGCUGUUUUGACGUUACCGACAGAAUAAGCACCGGCUAACUUCGUGCCAGCAGCCGCGGUAAUACGAAGGGUGCAAGCGUUAAUCGGAAUUACUGGGCGUAAAGCGCGCGUAGGUGGUUUUGUAAGUUGGAGGUGAAAUCCCCGGGCUCAACCUGGGAACUGCCUCCAAAACUGCAUGACUAGAGUACGGUAGAGGGUAGUGGAAUUUCCUGUGUAGCGGUGAAAUGCGUAGAUAUAGGAAGGAACACCAGUGGCGAAGGCGACUACCUGGACUGAUACUGACACUGAGGUGCGAAAGCGUGGGGAGCAAACAGGAUUAGAAACCCUGGUAGUCC
rnacentral:rRNA from 1 species